UACGUAUGGAGCAAGCGUUGUCCGGAAUCAUUGGGCAUAAAGCGCGCGUAGGCGGCCUCAUAAGUCCGUUGUGAAAGUCAAGGGCUCAACCUUUGAAAGCCGAUGGAUACUGUGAGGCUAGAGUCCGGAAGAGGCGAGUGGAAUUCCUGGUGUAGCGGUGGAAUGCGCAGAUAUCAGGAGGAACACCAAUAGCGAAGGCAGCUCGCUGGGACGGUACUGACGCUAAGGCGCGAAAGCGUGGGGAGCGAACAGG
rnacentral:rRNA from 1 species